AUUCUGGUGUGGGCACUUCCUCAACAACUCCUUAAAUCUCUCCCAUGCCUCAAACAACAAUUCUAAGUCCAACUGUAUAAAAGAAGUAAUCUCCUAACACAGCUU